rnacentral:rRNA from 1 species
AUGGCUCAGGAUGAACGCUAGCGACAGGCUUAACACAUGCAAGUCGAGGGGCAGCAUAGAAGUAGCAAUACUUGGUGGCGACCGGCGCACGGGUGAGUAACGCGUAUGCAACCUACCUAUCAGAGGGGAAUAACCCGGCGAAAGUCGGACUAAUACCGCAUAAAACAGGGGCACCGCAUGGUGAUAUUUGUUAAAGAAAUUCGCUGAUAGAUGGGCAUGCGUUCCAUUAGGUAGUUGGUGAGGUAACGGCUCACCAAGCCGACGAUGGAUAGGGGAACUGAGAGGUUGGUCCCCCACACUGGUACUGAGACACGGACCAGACUCCUACGGGAGGCAGCAGUGAGGAAUAUUGGUCAAUGGGCGGGAGCCUGAACCAGCCAAGUCGCGUGAAAGGAAGAAGGAUCUAUGGUUCGUAAACUUCUUUUGCAGGGGAAUAAAGUGCAGGACGUGUCCUGUUUUGUAUGUACCCUGAGAAUAAGGAUCGGCUAACUCCGUGCCAGCAGCGGC